CGCAACAACACCAUCCAUCCAUCACCCAAAUCAACAUAGCCGUGUUCGUUGGAUAAAAAUGGUUUUCAUUUGAACUCUAAUCGACACAACUUUUAAUAUCGAAAGUACUGAUGCUAUUAAGUCCGAUAUUCGAUUUCGGGAUUUGCUUUUCUUCUCUUAUAAGUCCCUUGGUUCCUCUUUUUUCUUAUAAUAUAUAUAUAGUUCUCUGUAAUUGCUCAAAUUGAUUAGGGUUUGAUGAUGCUUCACUCCUUAUCACUCUCAAACUCAUCAUCUAUAAUACAUAUACAAAAUAGCUAAGCUGCCAACGCAGCCACCACACCAGUUUUUUUGUGGAAGGGUUAAAGCUAUUGAUGUUGACCUCAUACCCUUUGUCACGGAUGGUGAUCCGAUCACUUCGAAUUCAAGAAGAGAGACAUCUUUGAAAAUUUUACCAGAUAGUUAGCUUUUACUCGAUCUAUUAUUGAAAAUAAAAAUACAUAAUAUUGAAUUUUAGAUGCUAAGAGCUUGACAGGCUAUGCACGAGGUUAAAGAAAACCAUAUUCAAAACUGAAGCAGCAAACUGCAGAUCAUCGUUUGUAAAAGUAUCAAGUCAUUUGGGUCUUGUUGAAGACAAGUUAGUCAAUUGACCCGGAUGAAUAAUUUUUGCUAGAUCGUGAGCAAAAAAAAAGGCAUUGCUCCAUUGAAGAAUUUUUUGCAUUUUGAUUUAUCACUUCAUUCAUGAACAAAAGUUUUUUCCCAAAGUUAUUACCUGUUAAUUCAUUCAUUUCGGUGUCUACAUAGGAUCAUGUUCAUGUUUUGAGGUUAGACUUAACUGGCGAUUUAUAGGUGUUGCACAAAGGAGCUCAGAUUCAACCGUCUAUUCAUUUGUUCUACAAGGUUACCCCAAAUUUUUCCUUCUUCCCGAUUCACUCUUUCCUAUUGCAAAUAGGAAUUUUGUUUCUACAGUAAUGUUUAUCGAUUCCAAGUUCUAUGGCUUUGCUUGCAUUACCAGAAGAAUGGAUUUUGUGUGGAGGGUAGCGGCUAGAGUUUUAGGUGCAUGAUUGUGGGAAGACAUUUUCUUACUAUUGAAUUGGUUUUGAUUUGAAGGUGGAUGAUUGGGUGUACAUAAAGUCUAUUAUAUGGAUGCUCGGGCUAUUGUUGUUUAGUGUCUAUACGUUGUUUGGAGUUUGUAAGAGAUGCAUUUGGUGUUUGAUUUCAGUCGUGUUAUUUGGUUGAGAGAUGUACAUGAUGGGCAUAUCCAUUAUACAUACAAGAGAAGUCGUGUUAUUUGGUUGAGAGAUGUACAUGAUGGGCAUAUCCAUUAUGCAUACAAGAGAAGUGUAAUUAAUUGUUUUUUGUUCUAAUAAAAUAAUUGAGGUACUAA